rnacentral:rRNA from 1 species
UACGUAGGGGGCAAGCGUUGUCCGGAUUUAUUGGGCGUAAAGAGCGUGUAGGCGGUUUGGUAGGUCCGCUGUGAAAACUCGAGGCUCAACCUCGAGACGCCGGUGGAAACCAUCAGGCGUAGAGUCCGGAAGAGGAGAGUGGAAUCCUGGUGUAGCGGUGAAAUGCGCAGAUAUCAGGAAGAACACCCGUGGCUAAGGCGGCUCUCUAGUACGGUACCUGGACGCUGAGACGCGAAAGC